rnacentral:lncRNA from 1 species
UGUUUCCUGGCCCACUCUGCUCUCUUCUUGUCCAUUAAGGUUACACCUAUCAUUUUCCUUUUCAUCGCUGGCUGCGUUGUCCUCAGUUUAAGAUGAACCCUCUUACAAGCCUCCAGGUUUCUGCUCCACAGGUACUGGCAAG